ACAAUUACUACAUUCUUUUAUCGCGGUGGUAUCUAGGCCAGCUCGGGCGCACCUAAACUAUUGCACCGGAUACCUACUACCUCCACCAGCAAAAGUAAUGGGUAACUCUACCAAUCACCUAGUGUUUUUUUGCCUCCGGAACUUGAACAUGAGAACUCACGAUUCUCCAAAUGACCAUUAGACCACACCCAAUACUACAUUCUCAAACCCAAACUAGUUGAGGGCAGCUAUAUUAAUCAUGCUAUCCUCUAUUCGGACCGGUUUCAUUUCAAUGACUCAGAAAAACAUAUGCCAAAAACAUUUCCAACUUCAAUAAUGCAAAAAAAAAGGAGAGAAAACAAACCAAGAAGCAAACUUAUUACCCAUCCAAAAACAAUUGCCCCAAAAAACAAACCCAAAAAAAACAGCAAAGAAACAAGAAUCUCCUAGCCCUAAUUUUCACAUCUCAAAAUACAAAACUCCCACAACAUAAAAUACAUGAAAUUUGAACAACACAAAUUCACCCAUCCUGCAAAAUAAAAAAUACCCAAUUCAAAUUUUCACAAAAUAGAAACAAUAAUUACGUAAAAAUUUAAUCUUUCACCAAAAAACCAGAACUUUUGUUUCAAAGAAAAACCCACCUGAGGAAGAAGGCAACAGGAGAAAAGAGAGAGGAGGAGGGAACAAGAUCAGAAGUUUCGCCUCUGUUACAGCCGGAAAGAAUCCACCCCACCCACCCACCCACCCCCGACCCAUAGGGUUAGAGGGGGUAGGGUAAGGUGAUGAUAAUUUUGUCAAAAUUUUUGUACAAAUUUCUCUUUUUACUAAGUCAAAUUAUUAUAAAUUUGUUAUAUUUGAUAAGAUAAAUAUAAAUUCAUAUCGAGUAAAG
rnacentral:lncRNA from 1 species